rnacentral:sRNA from 1 species
UGAUCUUGAUAUCGCGAGCUCAGCUGAUC